AUUGAACGCUGGCGGCAGGCUUAACACAUGCAAGUCGAACGAGGGGCGGACGGGUGAGUAAUGUGUGGGAAACUGCCUGAUGGAGGGGGAUAACUACUGGAAACGGUAGCUAAUACCGCAAACCAUCGGAUGUGCCCAGAUGGGAUUAGCUAGUCGGUGGGGUAAAGGGUAACCACGGCGACGAUCCCUAGCUGGUCUGAGAGGAUGACCAGCCACACUGGAACCGAGACACGGUCCAGACUCCUACGGGAGGCAUCAGUGGGGAAUAUUGGACAAUGGGCGCAAGCCUGAUGCAGCCAUGCCGCGUGUAUGAAGAAGGCCUUCGGGUUGUAAAGUACUUUCAGCGGGGAAGCGUUACCCACAGAAGAAGCACCGGCUAACUCCGUGCCAGCAGCCGCGGUAAUUC
rnacentral:rRNA from 1 species